rnacentral:pre_miRNA from 1 species
UUUGAUCAUCCAUCUUACUUAAAAUUAUUUUUAUAAUUAGUAUUUUUAUUAUUAUUAGAUGAUAAAACAUAAAUAGUAUUUUAUGCGUGACUUAUGUUUUUUAUUUUUUAAAAAAAAACUUAAUAAGACGGUAUGAUUAAA